rnacentral:lncRNA from 1 species
UGGAAUAUUAUUCUGGAGACCCGGAUGAAGAUGCUUACGACAUGAGAAAAGCCUGUUCAAGAGAUGUGAACAAAAAGUCAGUUAUACCAUUAGCACAUCCAGUAAGGCCGGAAGACGUGGACUGAUUUGAAAAUGUUUUAAAUGAUCAUCAAAAGUACUGAUGGAGUCACAUAAUAAAACAAGUUUUUUAAUAAUAAAUGUAUUACAAUUAA